rnacentral:RNase_P_RNA from 1 species
GGAAAGUGCAACAGAAAACACACCGCCGAUGGAAAGGCAACUUUCACAGGCAAGGGCGAACCGGAGGUGUAAGAGACCCCCGCAGGCUUGGCAACAAGGCUGGCUAGGUAAACCCCACUUGGAGCAACACCAAAUAGGCGCGCAGGCGCUUUAAGCGCCAACGGCGCUCCCCGAGCGCGCGGGUAGGUGGCUUGAGCUGAAGAGUAAUUUUCAGCCUAGAGGAAUGAUUGUCACUUUGGCUGCAAGGCCAUUGAACAGAAUCCGGCUUACAGGCGCGCUUUCUAC